UACGUAGGGGGCUAGCGUUGUCCGGAUUUAUUGGGCGUAAAGAGCGUGUAGGCGGCCAGGUAGGUCUGGUGUGAAAACUCGAGGCUUAACCUUGAGAUGUCAUCGGAAACCAUUUGGCUAGAGUCCGGAAGAGGAAAGUGGAAUUCCUGGUGUAGCGGUGAAAUGCGCAGAUAUCAGGAAGAACACCAAUGGCGAAAGCAGCUUUCUGGGACGGUACUGACGCUGAGACGCGAAAGCGUGGGGAGGCGAACCGG
rnacentral:rRNA from 1 species